ACUCAACACUAAUUUGUUUGAAAAGGGUGAGUUUAGAUUGUAAAAGCAGGCCUCCUUGUAGAGGAUCCUUGAGCAAUCUGUUAGCCCUAAACCUGUUUCUUGGAGUUU
rnacentral:sRNA from 1 species